GCCGCCAUAGCUCAGUCGGUUAGAGCGUGGGUCUAAUAAGCUCAAGGUCGCAGGUUCCACCCCUGCUGGCGGCA
rfam:Dictyocaulus viviparus strain HannoverDv2000 D_viviparus-1.0_Cont447.9, whole genome shotgun sequence.